rnacentral:rRNA from 1 species
UACAGAGGUCUCAAGCGUUGUUCGGAUUCAUUGGGCGUAAAGGGUGCGUAGGCGGCGCGGUAAGUCGGGUGUGAAAUCUCGGGGCUUAACUCCGAAACUGCAUUCGAUACUGCCGUGCUUGAGGACUGGAGAGGAGACUGGAAUUUACGGUGUAGCGGUGAAAUGCGUAGAUAUCGUAAGGAAGACCAGUGGCGAAGGCGGGUCUCUGGACAGUUCCUGACGCUGAGGCACGGAAGGUCAGGGGGAGCAAAACGGG